CACUGACUGAGCACCCAGGGAAAGGACCCGGUCAGCCCUGGGAGCACAGGUGAAGGCAGCUCAGCUGUGUGCACAGCUGUUAUGUGUUCAGUAACAUCGCCCUGCUCAGUGCCCCAUGGGCAUGGUGUGCAGGGCCCCACCAUCUCUGCCUGCUUCCUUCCCCAGUGUGCCCACCGACAGGACCCAGUUGAGGGCUUGUUCUGCUGCCCAAGCUGCCCCCAGCACACAUCAGCUUGCACAAGGGUUUUCUUUGGGUAACGGCCAGCACGCAGGGUGGGAGGCUGUCUCAAGGACACGUGCUGGGGACAGAGGCUGAAGAAUGGCCACAGGCUCACAGGGCUUCUGGUCAUGCUAGCACCUGCAGGGAAAUACCUUGCCUAGAUCAACUCCCAUCAGUCCCCAUCCCUCCUGCGAUCUCUGGGCCAUUCCUGGUGACUCUGUACUGGCUGUACUGGUCAGGGUGGGAAGCAGACCCAGGUGGACAGGGAUGGGAGCAGCUAAGACCCCUCCCUGGGAGCCUGGGAGCCUGCAAAAUGAUUGGAAUGACAGUGGAGCAUUGCAGUUGCAGUGCACAGGUAUGCCCGGAGAUGACAGCAAUCCCUCUCCAGCCUCCCUUCCCUGUGUUAUUACAUCCCAGCUGCUGCAGCGAAGACUGCAGACCCCUUAUUUGCCUGCACAUACAGAGACAGGACACACAAGUGUGAGAGGUAGCUCUGACCCACAUUGCACGUGGGCUCCAGGAGAAAGAGCGGGAUGAAGCCUCAACAGAAGGAGUCAAAAUGUGAAUGGAUCAGCAUGAUAACCAUGGAUAAAAAGGAAACAACAGAAAAAAGAAAGAAUACAUUAAGAAAAAUAAAUCUCAGCAUAGAAGAACACCAAAUGGGCUCAUCAUUGUACCAUCAGUGAGUCAUUUAUAGAGAGAGAUGAGAAAUCUACUGCUGCUGAAGAAUGCCCAGCACCAGGGCCAGGGGCAGGGAGGAAAAGAAGGGAGGUUUAAGACAUGUGAAAAAAGGCAGUGCUGACACACGGAAAAGGCUCUGUGCUGUCCCUGCUCAGAGGGCAUCCUCAGCACAGCUCUCAAGAUCUGCACAUAGGACAGCACAAGGAAAGCUGAACAGUAUUACAGACACUUCUGAUGCUUACAGAAGCCUCAGUAACACUGUAGAGUGCUGGGUGAGAGAACACAAACAAACAACAAGGCCAGAAGAGAGAGGAGUGCAUAUGGCAGCUGUAUGUAAACUGACCAGGUGUGCAUGACGGCAGCUAUGGACACCAACUGCUUACAGAAGUCAUGGAGUGAGACACAGAAUGGCCUGGGUUGAAAAGGAC
ensembl:lncRNA